GCUGAUGUGUUGGAAUUGGCAGACAAGAUGGACUUAGAAUCCAUUGCUGCGAAGCGUGCAGGUUCAAAUCCUGUCAUCAGCACCA
rnacentral:tRNA from 1 species